GCGGGCAAUCGCGGCGGAAACGGUCUUCCGCUUCCGCUGAGGAAAGUCCGGACUGCACAGAGCGGGGAGUCCUUUCGAUAAGGAAGGAUGCCGCGGACGAUAUGCCGCGGAAAGACCAGUGCAACAGAGAGCAGACCGCCGCCGCUCGUCGGCGGUAAGGGUGAAAGGGUGGGGUAAGAGCCCACCGGAAGGCGGGCGAGAGCCGCUUCGCUGAGGUAAACUCCUCCCGCAGCAAGACCAAAUAGGGGACGAGCCGUGGCUCGCGGCGCUUGAGUCCCGGGUUCUGGUCGCACAGACAGAUGAUUGCCGCCGUUCCUUCGGGGAGCGGUACGGAAUCCGGCUUACAGCCGCG
rnacentral:RNase_P_RNA from 1 species